GCGGUCGACGUGGGCGCCGCCGCCGCCGAAGGGAGGGCGGAGGACGAUCGCCCCAAGCCGGCCUCCUUCGCCAAGACGAGUACGUAUUCCCUAUCCCGUGUCUUUUUGCUUGAAUGUUUGUAUGCUUACAAAAUGUGCAGCAGUUACCAUGGUUUGCAGGUAUCCCAUUCAUAUGAUUUUUUUUAUUUCCUUGGUCUCAAUAUAUAUAUCAACUGCUGCAACUGCGAUUAAGCUCCGUCCUUUUCUAACCUCAUGAUGACUUUUCACCCGUAUAGGGCAAAGGAGCACUUAAUCAACUUGUGGUGUAGGUUGUACUCAAUUGCUUAUCUUACAUUAUGUUUAUGUUGUAUUUGAUAGGCUUGAGGUUGUACAAUUAGAGUUCCAUGUGCAUACUAUGGCGUGCUUUGUCGUACUUUAGGUUGCAGUUUUCUUUUCACCUUCGGAAUGUGUUAUACAAGUUUGUUCCAUAUUCAUUUGCAGCGCUGAUACUAUUCAAGUGAUAAGCUCACUUAAGUGUGGAAUAUGCAUGUACGAAAAAGGGAAAACGGGUUAUUCGGAGGGAAGAUAGUGUAAACUGUUGAUAACAUUGUUGGGACAAAGAAGUAUCAUCUUAUUAUGGUUGUUUGUAUUUUAUUUUCUUCUUUCCUAUGGUGUUUAUUGCUCAAUGGAUCUUCUGGAAUUGUAUUAUGAGCUCUGUUAUAAUCUCAAGCAUGC
rnacentral:lncRNA from 1 species